GGCUCGGCCCUUUGCCGAGUUCCGUCAUCGCCUGGGGUCAUUACCGACCUGUUCCCUCAGAAAUCUGGCCUCUCUGCGGACCCACUUUCGGUUCCUGGCUGCCAGGGGAGAAGGCUAGGCUUUGUCUCUCCCUUCCCCACUGGGACCCGGGCCUCAGCGCGGCUUGCCAAGUCUCGGGAUGCGGAAGAAGAUCCACCUCCGCCCCAGCGUGUAAAGAUCCGGGUGUGUGUGCCUAUGGCAGCCGAAGGGUGGGUCUCAGGCUCCAAACAUAGGAGGAAGGAAGUGGAAGCGUGUGCUUGGAUGCGGGACUGGUCUGGAGAUCCAGGCCUUCUGAGUUCCUGGGUCUGGGGAGAGGCUGGUGCAUCCAGAUCUCACAAGGAGCUCCAGUUCCCUAGGCCUAAUCCAGCGCCGUCGCCUGCUGGUCGGAUCUCGAUUUCCUAG
rnacentral:lncRNA from 1 species